CAGGCACUGCCCCGUGCGUCAGGAGCGUGAUACCCAGGGGCCUUAAUGGUACUCACCGGGAGCUGUCCCUGACCGGGGCCGUGGCCUCGGACAUAUGGCGCCCACCUGCACUUGCAGGCCCGUGAGGAUCCACAUCCAACGGCGGAGGCGGUCCUGUC
rnacentral:other from 1 species